AAUUUACUCCUGUAAAGGAUGCUGUAAACAUUAUCAAUAUGACAACAAAAAAUUUAGAGUAUUACAUAAACUUAUUUGGUAAAAACAGCAGCAAGUUUCAAGAGGACAGACCAAUUUUGAAAGAAGUUCUACUGUGGAUAAAAUGUUAUCAAAAAAACAACAUCACAUAUUUGUUGUUUUUAUUUUAAAUCAAAGUAUGUUUAUUGUUUUCUUAACCAUAAUGUUAUUUCACACUUAAUCAACUACAGUAUAGUGUAAACAUAAAUUUUUAUAUUCAGGGAAAAACCAAAGAAAAAAAUAAAAUGAGUCCUUAUUGUGAUACUUGCUUUAUUAUGGUGAUCUGGAAUCAAACUUGCCAUAUCUCCAUGGUAUGCCUUUACUUGAAAGUCUCCAAGAGUGUAGAUCUGAAAUAUUUUUAC
rnacentral:lncRNA from 1 species